AUGUAUAAAGAAUACUGGGAGCACUUCAAAAGGAGAAAAGAGAAGAGGCAAAAUAAGAUACAUGUCUGGUCCCCUCCUCCCAAGGAUUUCCGGAAAAUAAACUCAGAUGGGGCAUUCAGAGAAUCAACUCAUUCCGGCGGAUGGGGUUUAACCAUUAAAAAUGAAUUUGGGGAAACGCUGGUGAUAGGAGCAGGAAAUUUAACAUUUGUUGUUGAUCCCUUGCACGCAGAAGCAGCAAGAAUGGGAUGUCAAAAGAUCAUACUGGAGACUGACGCCACUGUUCUAAAGCAAGCAAUGACCAGCGAGGCAUAUGACAACUCAGUACUAGGUGUCUUAUUUAAGGACUUGAAAUCUGUUAUUCAGUACUCGUUCCAGUGUUGUAAAAUAGAGAUUUGUCCUAGAGUCUGUAAUAUAUCAGCGCACUGUCUAGCUGCGUUGGUGUGA
rnacentral:rRNA from 1 species